rnacentral:rRNA from 1 species
GACGAACGCUGGCGGCGUGCCUAAUACAUGCAAGUUGAGCGCUGAAGGUUGGUACUUGUACCAACUGGAUGAGCAGCGAACGGGUGAGUAACGCGUGGGGAAUCUGCCUUUGAGCGGGGGACAACAUUUGGAAACGAAUGCUAAUACCGCAUAAAAACUUUAAACACAAGUUUUAAGUUUGAAAGAUGCAAUUGCAUCACUCAAAGAUGAUCCCGCGUUGUAUUAGCUAGUUGGUGAGGUAAAGGCUCACCAAGGCGAUGAUACAUAGCCGACCUGAGAGGGUGAUCGGCCACAUUGGGACUGAGACACGGCCCAAACUCCUACGGGAGGCAGCAGUAGGGAAUCUUCGGCAAUGGACGAAAGUCUGACCGAGCAACGCCGCGUGAGUGAAGAAGGUUUUCGGAUCGUAAAACUCUGUUGGUAGAGAAGAACGUUGGUGAGAGUGGAAAGCUCAUCAAGUGACGGUAACUACCCAGAAAGGGAGGGCUAACUACGUG